CUAAGAAUAUUCCGCAAUGGACGAAAGUCUGACGGAGCGACGCCGCGUGAGGGACGAAGGUCUUCGGAUCGUAAACCUCUGUCGGAAGGGAAGAACGGGCAUUGGUCUAAUAGGCCUUUGUUUUGACGGUACCUUUAGAGGAAGCACCGGCUAACUCCGUGCCAGCAGCCGCGGUAAUACGGAGGGUGCAAGCGUUAUUCGGAAUUACUGGGCGUAAAGCGCACGUAGGCGGCUUUGUAAGUCAGGGGUGAAAUCCCACGGCUCAACCGUGGAACUGCCUUUGAAACUGCAGAGCUUGAAUCCUGGAGAGGGUGGCGGAAUUCCUGGUGUAGGAGUGAAAUCCGUAGAUAUCAGGAGGAACACCGGUGGCGGAGGCGGCCACCUGGACAGGUAUUGACGCUGAGGUGCGAAAGUGUGGGGAGCAAACA
rnacentral:rRNA from 1 species